GGCAAUGAGGCCUCCACCCAGAAUCAGUCCUACUUUGCCCCCAGAGCAGGUGCUAGGUGGAGGCUCAGUGUGACUUGAUUAAAGGAAGGACUUGAUUAAAGGGGUGGGGGGCCUUCUACAUUGCUUAAAACAGUAAGGCCCCAGUCACUCUUUAAGUGACUUAAGAGGUUAGUGUGCCUUACAGCCUCAGGGGCUGCCAAGAAAAUGUGAAGCAGCUGUGGCAGGCUGCCUGGGCCAGCUCUCCUCCUCCUGCCGUUGCUGCCCCCUCUGCUGCCAACAGGGGGGCAAACCAGUACACAGUCCCGACCUUGUUAGACCCCCUUCACCUGAGUCAGGCCAGGAGAGACAGCCACAGCAACACCAACCUGGAUGGCAAGAGCAUCCGCCAUGGCCACAGCCAGGAAACAGGGUCCAGGAAGAGGCGGGCAAAUGACAAGAAAUCCUAUCAGAGCAAUCUUGACCUCUACUUGAUCUUGGAAAUAAAAGAAACAGAAGACGGUCUCAACAAACUGCAGAAUACAGUGCCUACAGGCAACACAAACAUGCAGGAGGGAUUUAAAAUGGUACAGACAGCUAGAGCUCGAAGAAUCUAUCCUGCUUUAACAAAUUCUCAGAAUAUCAUUGAGUCAUCUCAACAUGCCUUCUUGCUUUUGCAGAAAAGAAGGUUCACUCCAUGGUUAUCUCCCUAACUGAUGGAGCAAUGUCACCAAUUUGAGGCUACUAAGAACAAAAUAAAAAAGCCACUGAGGUAGAAGUUACUGGGCUAAUGUGACCAGGAGUGCAGAUAGAGGAACCAGCCAAGCUUCAAGGCAUCCUCCUGACCCUCCGUCUUGGUGCUCCCCUGAUGAGCUUAGUGAUCUGCUGUGCUACAGCCCCUGCUGAGGACAGGACAUGCCAGAUAAGCUGCCCAGAGAGGGGCCUCUACUGCCAGCAGCCUCCAGAGUGGAGCCAACACAAUCGAGAUCACUAUUGAAGUGAGCCUGAGCAACCGUGCCAGCUUCAUCAGCAACGGCUCAAGAUCACUAGUGAGGACUGUGGGAGUCACAGGGUAGGUAUAUGGUCUCCCUUGGGGCUGCCCAGAAGCCUGCACUGGAGAGGAGGCAAGAGAGAGGACCAGUGCCCAGGACAGGCCCAGCAAAUAGCAGGUACAGAUGGGCACAGGGCAGCAUCUCCCAGCAACAGAUGCCCUUAGGUCUUCAUCGGAGUUGGGAAGUGCCUGGGAGGGCUUCUAGGAGCCCUGUGGUGCAGUCAUCUUAGCAUGACUUAGAUGCCCUCUGUUCUCUGAACGAUGCCAUUGAGGGCACGUAAAGAGACAAAUGAGAGACCCAAGCAGAUUCCAGAAAUAGUGUUGAGGCUAAAUACCACCUUGCCAGCACCCCCUCCCCUGGUCUGUGGUGGGGAGUUUGGGCUACCAUCUUAACUCCAGUUGGGGCCAGAGGGGUUGCUAGGAGGUUGUGUGCAAGGAACCAGACUCCAGGACAUCUGGAGGACAUCUUCCCACCAAGCAGGCUCUAGGCACAGGGAUAUGGAGGGAAGAACAGCUGGGGCCCUGCACAGUCAUGGUGUGUUUCCUCUGCUCUCGUGUCCAACUGCUGGCCCAGUUGUGUGGCCAUCACAGCCCCUGGCUGUCAGUUUGCAGAUGUCUUCAGACUCCUUUCCUCUUUCCUCCUUUCCCACACUCCUCAGCCAUUCCUGGCUGCAACUCUCUCUCUGCAAGAAGUCUCUCUUCUCUGCUGGUGGGGAAGCUAUCAGGGUCCUGGGAAGGAACAGGACUCAGCUCAGCAAGGGGCCCCUGGGAAGGAAGGUGAUAGGCCCCUUUCCAUGCUCCACAGCAUCCAGGCAACUUAGCCCUGGGCAGCAGGACAUGGCCAGUGGUGAACAUCUGGCACAGAAGAGGUGUGCCAGGGAGCAGAGAUGCGUUGUCUGAUGGCCAGAGCCCUGUGUUUUGUACCUGCUUGUGAGGGUGCACACUAUGCUCACAUCUCCUCUGCGUGUAUCUGCGUUGUGUCUAGACAUCUGCUCAGAUCAGCUAGAGUUCUCACACCAGCCCAUCAGGAGUCCCACCAAGACACAGCUCGUCUGUCAUCAGGCCCAUGAGGAAAGCUCUCAGGAGAGCCUCAAGGGCCCUGGCAGGGCAGAUGAGCAGUCCUGACCUUGCCGUUCUCUCUGCCACCCUGUUCCCUGGGCAGUGGUCCCCUACCCCUUCCCCUCUCCUGUGCUCCGCAGCAGAGACUGUGCGCUGUCCCACCCUGAGGGCAACUUGUCCUUGGCUGGGAAUGACGGCCAGAGCAAGCCACCUUCCUCAGCCCCCAUAAGGGCCUGACCUGUGCCAGGACUUUGAUAACCCUCCGCACCUCAUGAGCACCUCUCAUCUCCUGCUCACAUGUGGACACAGAGGCGCAUAGAGAUUGAGGAGCUCUGCCCACAGCUGCAGAGCCUACAUGUGAGGGAGCCCGUCAUGUGCAAUGGCUAUGGGUCUGCUCUGCUCUUAUAACCCCCACCUCUCAGGGGGUCCCACCAUUCCCUCAGACACCUAUCUUUGUAUCUGUACAAUUCUGACAGGGCCUGGAUCCUCCUCCCUGCCUUCCCUGGUGUGCCUCACAAAUGCAGGCCUCCUCCCUUUCUUCUAGCUCUGCCCAGGUACCAUGUGGGCACCUCAUGUUCCCCUCCAAGCCACCACAUGCCUCCUCAAACCUUUGUACUUUAACUCCAGUAGGAGGUCCUGGCUUGGCCUGCAAAAGAUAUUAAUUUGUUGGGGCCUCCCUGGUGGCACAGGUGGUUGA